rnacentral:rRNA from 1 species
UACGGGGGGGGCAAGCGUUGUUCGGAAUUACUGGGCGUAAAGGGCUCGUAGGCGGCCAACUAAGUCAGACGUGAAAUCCCUCGGCUUAACCGGGGAACUGCAUCUGAUACUGGAUGGCUUGAGUUCGGGAGAGGGAUGUGGAAUUCCAGGUGUAGCGGUGAAAUGCGUAGAUAUCUGGAGGAACACCGGAGGCGAAGGCGGCAUCCUGGACCGACACUGACGCUGAGGAGCGAAAGCCAGGGGAGCAAACGGG